AUUGAACGCUGGCGGCAUGCCUUACACAUGCAAGUCGAACGGCAGCGGGGACUUCGGUCCGCCGGCGAGUGGCGAACGGGUGAGUAAAGUAUCGGAACGUACCUUUCAGUGGGGGAUAACGUAGCGAAAGUUACGCUAAUACCGCAUAUUCUGUGAGCAGGAAAGCAGGGGAUCGCAAGACCUUGCGCUGAUUGAGCGGCCGAUAUCAGAUUAGCUAGUUGGUGAGGUAAAGGCUCACCAAGGCGACGAUCUGUAGCGGGUCUGAGAGGAUGAUCCGCCACACUGGAACUGAGACACGGUCCAGACUCCUACGGGAGGCAGCAGUGGGGAAUUUUGGACAAUGGGGGCAACCCUGAUCCAGCCAUGCCGCGUGAGUGAAGAAGGCCUCGGUUGUAA
rnacentral:rRNA from 1 species